CUUCACGAAGCUCGGACGGUUGUCUUUGUGGACCUGAGCUCGAUACACAAACUCAUACAUGUAGACCGGAGCUCCAGCAUCUAAACACCAGCAGAGAAGAAACAUGAAGGUCUACAGGAUGAAGGUUUAGAUGGUGAAGGUUUAGAUGACGGUGAAGGUUAGACGGUGAAGGUUAGACGGUGAAGGUUUAGACGGUGAAGGUUAGACGGUGAAGGUUAGACGGUGAAGGUUAGACGGUGAAGGUUAGACGGUGAAGGUUAGACGGUGAAGGUUAGACGGUGAAGGUUAGACGGUGAAGGUUAGACGGUGAAGGUUUAGACGGUGAAGGUUAGACGGUGAAGGUUUAGACGGUGAAGGUUAGACGGUGAAGGUUAGACGGUGAAGGUUUAGACGGUGAAGGUUAGACGGUGAAGGUUAGACGGUGAAGGUUUAGACGGUGAAGGUUAGACGGUGAAGGUUAGACGGUGAAGGUUUAGACGGUGAAGGUUAGACGGUGAAGGUUAGACGGUGAAGGUUAGAUGAUGGUCAGACAUGAAGAUUUGUCUCCUGGUGACUCUUUAAACUGUAGAAAUGAGAUUAAAGGAUCUACAAGCUGCAGCGGUGUUGGCAGAAAAUGAUGGACGGGU